rnacentral:rRNA from 1 species
AGUGAACGCUGGCGGUAGGCCUAACACAUGCAAGUCGAACGGCAGCACAGUAAGAGCUUGCUCUUACGGGUGGCGAGUGGCGGACGGGUGAGGAAUACAUCGGAAUCUACUUUUUCGUGGGGGAUAACGUAGGGAAAUUUACGCUAAUACCGCAUACGACCUACGGGUGAAAGCAGGGGAUCUUCGGACCUUGCGCGAUUGAAUGAGCCGAUGUCGGAUUAGCUAGUUGGCGGGGUAAAGGCCCACCAAGGCGACGAUCCGUAGCUGGCCUGAGAGGAUGAUCAGCCACACUGGAACUGAGACACGGUCCAGACUCCUACGGGAGGCAGCAGUGGGGAAUAUUGGACAAUGGGCGCAAGCCUGAUCCAGCCAUACCGCGUGGGUGAAGAAGGCCUUCGGGUUGUAAAGCCCUUUUGUUGGGAAAGAAAAGCAGCAGGUUAAUACCCCGCUGUUCUGACGGUACCCAAAGAAUAAGCACCGGCUAACUUCGUG